AACGAACGCUGGCGGCAUGCCUAAUACAUGCAAGUCGAACGAUCACUUCGGUGAUAGUGGCGCACGGGUGCGUAACGCGUGGGAAUCUGCCCUUGGGUUCGGAAUAACAGCUGGAAACGGCUGCUAAUACCGGAUGAUGACGUAAGUCCAAAGAUUUAUCGCCCAGGGAUGAGCCCGCGUAGGGAUUAGCUAGUUGGUGGGGUAAAGGCUUACCAAGGCGACGAUCCUUAGCUGGUCUGAGAGGAUGUUCAGCCACACUGGGACUGAGACACGGCCCAGACUCCUGCGGGAGGCAGCAGUGGGGAAUAUUGGAAAAGGGGGGCAACCCUGAUCCGGCAAUGCCGCGUGGGUGAUGAAGGCCUUAGGGUUGUAAAGCUCUUUUCCCCGGGAGGAUAAUGACAGUACCGGGAGAAUAAGCCCCGGCUAACUCCGUGCCAGCCGCCGCCGUAA
rnacentral:rRNA from 1 species